GGGCUGCAACUCCUGUUAACCUGUGGAUGACAGCAGCUUGUCCCACCGCAUGGGGUAUGAGCCUGCAGCUUUUCCACAGAGGCCAUAGACUAAAUUGGCUCCUACUGCAGAGGAUGUGCAGGGAAGCAAAGCGUGGUGAGGGCUGCGUAGCGCACAGUGCAGAUGUCAGAAAAUGCCAAUGUAGCAAAUCGAACUUAAAUGCUUCCCACUUGUGGGAUAUUCAUUUCCAAUAGUCUUUAUCAGCUGAAGGAAUCUAAAAGCAGGAUAAGAACCACGUUGCCAGCUGAUAGUUAUUUUUCUGGAGGGAGAAAGAUUAUAUGCUCCUUCGCAAUAUUGCAGGGGACAAUCACUAUUACAGCUGGGGCUUGAAAUCCUGCUACAAUGCUUGUACAGAAAGGGACCAAGUGGCAUCUUUCCUGUGCAGCUAUACCAUGUUAUUCCUUGAGCUCUGAGUGAAGCCGUAAUUCCUGACCCCCGGCACGGUGUUCCUGCCGCCGCAGGGCUCGCGGGGCUUGGUGAUGGGGUACUGCACGGAGCCGUCGCUGAGCCAGCCGGCGUUGCACCAGUCCAGCCCCGCUCGCCAGGCCUCGUAGAGCUGGUCGAAGGCGGCGAUGAUGGCGUCCUGGCCCCGGCACGCCUGCUGCGCCUCGCGGAAGUUCAGGUUGUACCGCCCCAGCCGCGGAGAGUACGGGAAUACCACACCUGCGGUGGCAGAGAGGCGGUUAUCCUAGGAAUUUCAUGUCAGCCUUAAUAACAACAGUGGAAGGCUAGACUGGUAGGAGACAGAAUUAGGGUCCUGAGGUAUUAAAGCAGGAAAUCUACAGGGAAAUCAAAUCAGUGAAGAUGUGUGUGGCUCUAGCAAAGGAGACCUUUUGGACACUUCCCAGUGGCUGCCUGGCAGUCUGUCACCGCAGUCGCUCACGGUGGAAGGGGAGCUCCUCGUGGAAGAUGCCAGCAAGUAUGGGCCCUUCAACAGGAGACAGUCUUCCCCAAUCCCAGCUGGUGAGCAAGGUGGUGCUUGGGAUGCAGCAAAGCCAGGUGGUCCCCGGAGGAAGCGGCAUGAGACACUCUCUCCCGCCACCCCUAUGAGUGCCAAGAGCAGCACUGGAAUAACUGAAGAGCGUGUUCUGGAGAGCCUGGGGGACUGGGGAGCCCUGGUGUGGAGGUACAGAUCUGCUGAUGCUUCCUUGAGCCGCAUGUGGGACUUAGGACAUAGGCCACCAUCACACGGCCCACAGCUGGGUCUGUUCCCUGUCAGCUGCGAGCUGUCAUGGUGGGCACGGAGGAGACCCUCCUGUGAUGGAGAGUGCCCAAGCGGAGAUUGGAGACAUGGGGAUGCCUCCAGAGUUGUUUCAAUACUGACAUUUAAUCAAUCUCAUUGCCUUUUUCUUACAGAUUUGUCUACUGUGUAUUUUCUGUUUGUUUUACCAGAAACCUCUGUAAUUAAAAAUUACUUCUGGAAGCAGGAAAGAUGCUUCAGAAAGUGUUGAAGAACCACCUCUCCACAUGGCUCUGACAAAAGGCAGUACAGAGAAGAGAGAGAUUUGAAACAAAAGUUUGGAUCAGACCACCCUAACCUUUGGCAAGGUUUAGAAACUCAGCCCAGCUCUAAAUUUUACAGUUGGCUUUAGCCCAAUCUUUAUAAUAAGCUGAAACAAAAUGGCAUCAGAGAAGAUCCAGCUCAGGAUGUUUAUUUUCAAACAUCUCUGUAGAACUAAGUGGUGUAGGAUGUAGAAAGGCUGAAGACAAGAUAACACAUUAGGAGAUGAGCCAAAAGCUUUAAACUGGUGAAGACAUCUAUCUUUCUUUUUACUUUUUCCCUGUUGGUGAAUUCUCCUGCCUAUAACAAGUUCCUUGUCUCCAAGGCAAUGUAGCAUAGGAUAGAGAAAUUACAUUAUGGUCAUGCUCAGCUGUCACCAUGCAAUGAAGUCAUUCUUCUUUUUGAACAUUCAAAUCCACUUUGGUGUCUAUUCCACGGGUAUCUUAACAUCUCCUUCUUGCCCUUCUCUUCCUCACCCAUCUAUUGUCCCAGCAGUGUUAUUUUUGUUAAAUAAUAUCUCUGCUAUUAGUAAACCCAAGUGAAUUGGUCCAAGAAAACAAAGCAUGCAAAUGUAAACUUGGCAGGGUAAUAAUAAACAGGAUUUUGUUCUACUUCAGUAAUUAACUAGAAAGUCUGCUGACUUUCUUUCCUUUUGUAAAUCCUUUGUUAAAGGGCUUUUCAGUUAUUAGCUGUUCUGCACUAUAAAAGGUGAAUGAUAUGUAACACAUUGUGUGCUGUUAACUACAGCUUCAUAAACAAGAAGCCAUAAAUGUUUCAUGUUCAUUCUGGAUCUCUGAAAAUUUUUUUUAAUCAUUUGUUCUCCCUCAGUGCUAAUGGCUAGAAAUAUCAAUGACUAUAGUAAAAAUGUAGCAAGUGCCAGAGGAGUCCAAGCUUUAUUAAAAAUCCAAUGCUUAUUUUUUUUCUAGAACUAUACCUCCCCAGACUCCUGACUCCUGGUCCAGCACGAGUUUGAUCUGCAUAUACACGUCAAAAAAAACCUAAAAUCACCAGAGAUGGAUACCUAUUAAUAAAAGUCUAAACUCAUAUACUUCUAAAGACUGAGCAACAAUUCAUCAGAAACUGUUCAAGCAGAUUUAAUUCCUUACGGUUUCAAAAAUCACUUUUUUGAGAUGGUUAAAAAUGAACAUAAAUUUGUUACAAAUCUACUUAAGUUUGACAGUUUGGGCCAUAACGUUUUAAUAACAUAAAUAUGCACAGAACUGUAAUAUUAGCUUUGGGCUAUAUUUGGAGAGAGAGGCUAGAAGCUGAUUUUUGUUUGAGUUCAUCUGCAGUACAAGUCUGCAACUGAUUAGCAUUAAUUUCACCCUGCAGAUACAGACAGGGGUAGCCAUCGGUGAUUUUAUAUAGGAAAAUUGACCUUACGCAGUUUUGUGUGGCUUUGUGUUAUCUUGCAUCUUUGCUGUUACUGGUUCUUUCUUCCUCAUUUCUCUAUCAAGCCUAACACUGAAUUGAUAGAUAGAUCUAUACGCAUCUUCUUCUUGCUACAAUUUAGCCGUUUUGAACCUUAGUUAAUUGGGCAGCAGCAUCUUCAGUCUUGGCUCCUGCAGCCCAUCAAAAGAUAAUGCGCUCCAUCUGGGCUUGAGUGGACGAGGUUGUCUGGGGGCUGGUUGCUGUUCCCAAACUAGAAACAGAAUCUAAACACCUAACUCCAAUCCUGUGUUUUAUUGCAAGACAAAACACCCACUUCCAAAUGUUAACAAAUUCAGCUUGGGAAAUGGAGGAGAAAAUGCUUCCAGCCUCGAAUGGCUGCUAUUGCUGUGGUUUUCAAUUACAUUUGAAUACCUUUUUUGCUGGUAAUAUGAAAGUCUCCUGAAAGUCUUCUGUUGGGAAAGGAUGGUAUUUUUCUCAUCAGUAUGGUAGUUUUCUUAUCAGUAAAACUUAUGGUUUUAGCUGUUUACUUAUGACCUGCUCUCUGGUUCAGUCUGAACAAAAUUUCUAAAUCCUUCCCCCUAUUUUCUAUAUUACCCUCUCAGAAGUGUCCUGUCAGCGGUGGUAGUACCUGUCGGCAGUGGCAUUACCUGUAGGUAGACAAUGCAUCCACCAGCCUGUUGGGAUAUGGCUCUUUGUAGGGAGCGAGUUGUUAGACCCCUGUUUAAAACCAGGGAAUGGUUGUUCUCUUGGCCUGAAGAGCCUUAACUUGACCUUAGUGACUCAGUUCCUUGCUUUAAGCAAGCAGCUUAGACAUUUGUAGAGCUUGAGUAGGGAACAUUAAUUACAAUUUUGAUUUAGGAGGUAGCUCUUCUCCCAGAUAAUCAGUUCUCUGAAAUACUCCUGUUAAUAGCAGCUGCUCUUCUGCCUUCCUCCAAAGGAGGAAAGAAACUGAAACACAUUAAUUUGGUGGCAAAUUAAUCUGUUAGUGAAAGAAGAAGGCCUGACAAGGCUUGCUGCAUGUGCCUAUUACAGUGCAAUUGCAGUCCUGAAAAUGGCUGCUGUUAUGGGAGUUAGGAUUUUUACCAAAUCAGAACAUAAGAACUGGAAGUAUAACAAAACCUCCCCAUAUCUGUGCCUGUAUUUCUAUGAAUGCCUUACUUUCAAUCCCACUAAUGUACAACUCUGCUCCUAUUGCUGUGGCUUUUAAUUACAUUUUUUGCAGGGAAAACUGGGAGGAGAGAGAGAGGGGACUACUGAAGCUGGCUGUUUUGCAAAGCAAGCCAUCGCUUUUGUGCAGAAGGGUUUAAUGCUACUUUUUUAUCCUGGAUGGGGGAAAUCUGUUUUUCUCUAUUUGUCUUGAGAGGGAGACUUUUGAACAAGUCUAUGAGAAUUAGAUGCUCAGUUAUAUCAGAAAAUAAGUGGAAAAUAAUCUUUAAAAUAGAGCUCAACCUUGCUCACUUAAGGAAUGGAAAAGACAUGACAUUUGCAUGUCCCUUGUAUGCUAUUUGUGUUACACAUUCUUAUAUGCAGGUAGUCACUGAAACUCAACACGAGUCCUUUGCAAUUGCCUGGUCACUAGAGACACGUUCUCAGUGCAAGGAGGAGUAAUGGUUACCCAAGGCAAAACGGUGAGGAAGGAACUUUAGAAAGCUCAGCUCCUAUAACAGUUUUAGAAAGCUCAGCUUCUGUAACAAUUUAUGGUUGUCUAUUAAGGCAACACUGUAUGCAAUUAGCAGUUUUAAGAGUAUGUACAGAUAGAACAAAAUAAAACAAAUUUUUGUUAACACAUAUGGAAAAAAAAAGUCUCUUUACAGCCAGAGCAAAGAAAUGGCUUCCUUCAGUUCUAGUCUAAACAAAAAGUAAGUAUUUUGUAGCCAGCGUAAACACAGGGUACAGUAACGUUUGCUAUAUGCUGUACUGUAGGGUACAGUUUUAUGCUGGUAGGUUCACGCACUUGAAGGCAAAGUUUUCCGUGUUGGGUUUCUAAAAUUCUGCAAAAAGUGGAAAGUUCUUCACUUUCCUUGAGCAUCCAUCUCUAUUUCUCUGCCUGUCAAAAUCGUCAGAUACCUGAUUAUGUAGCACAGACUCCACGGGUGGCCACUGGCUGUCGGCAGCGGUGGUGACUCCGUUGCCUGUAGCUGGAAGCUUGCAGCAGCGCCUCUCCGAUCAUGUCCCCGCACCAAGCCAACAGGGACUUUACUCACUUUUGACAAAUAGAGGCUAGACUUAUCCAGCCUAGACUUAUCUGGCCCAUGAGCAGAUUAUGCCCUUCUUUUUGCUUCAGCUUCUGUCAGAUUUGAAGACUGUUGUUUCUCCUUGCUCUCCUUGGCUAAGCAGUCCUAGAUCUUUUAGCAUUUCCAUUCAGAUUUUGGUUUCUAGAUAAUUUUGUGUUGCUCUAUUUUGUACUUUUUACUUUGCGUGCAUCUUUCUUUUAUAGUACCAUUGCUCACACUAGACACAGUAGAGCCAGAUCUGCAAAGAUCUGUUACCCUGUCACAGAAGGAAUGAGAUUGGUCUGACAUGAUUUGCUCUUGGCAAACUCCUGUUGUCUUUCACAAAACUUUGUGUUGUCUUCUAGGUAUUUACAAACAGUGUGGCCUGUAAAAUCAUCUUUUCUGUAGGCAGAACAACAGAUUUGUUAUGUGAAGAAUGUUUAAAAUAGAUUUUUGUGUAUGAAUGUGACAGCAACACACAGAAGAAACAUAUAGAAUACGCAUUAGACAAAAUCUGAUAUCCCCAGCUGCAAAGUGCAUGGAAUUGGUAAGCUUUAGGCUCUGCAUCUUGGUUUCAGUUAUGAAUCCCUUGUUGCUUACAUGCAACCUAAGAGAAAAUGAUUAUAUUAGGAAAUGAUUACAGUGACCAUUUGGAAGAAUUUAUUUAUAUGAAGUUCAUGAAUUCGUUUGAUCUAUUUUGAACUAUAAAGUCUUUUCUGAAAGAGAUGGCCGUUCUUUUUCUAAUUCUGUCUUGGACAUAAAGGCUCAUGUACCUCUAAGCAGGAUCAUAAAACCCGAUGAUCUUCUAUUCAUGUGGAGCCACCCAAAGAGUUAGUUUCCAUCUAGAAGAAGCAGUCCGCAGAGAUUUUUAAUAUGUUUGUCUAGAUCUGCAUAUUUCUGGUACUGUUGAAAGUACAAAGCAAUUAUUUCAGAACCUGUAUUGCAAAGCUACUAUGUUCAGCUAUCUUCUACCUAUGUACAGACAAACUAUAGAAAAGAUUUCCUAAUAGAUUAAAGCUCUGCCUUUUGUUGGGGGUUCAGCAUUGUUCUACAUUCUUGGUCAUCUGGGCUGUGAAUCUUACUCCCUGAAGGAAUUGUUCACAAAAUCUGUGCCUGGGAAGUAUGGUAGAGGGCCAGUGCUGGAGCCUUCAUCUGCCUGAGAAGUUCAGCAUACAAGCCUAAUAUGGUGAGGUUCAAAAGUAUCUAGUACAUAGAAGUAUCAGACUAGUAUCUAGUCUAUAAGAAAGAACAAAAGUAAAACACUAAAAUAAAGAAACUUUAAUGUAA